rnacentral:rRNA from 1 species
CGGGUAUACUGCGCAAUGGGGGAAACCCUUAAGUAGCAAUACUGCGGGAGGGAAGAAGGGCUUCGGUUCGUAAAGCUCUGUUAUUGGGGAAGAAAAAAAGAUGGUACCCACGAAGAAAGUCACGGCUAACUACGUGUCAGCAGCAGCGGUAAUACGUAGGGGACAAGCGUUGUUCGGAUUUACUGGGCGUAAAGGGCACGCAGGCGGUUUUUUAAGUCAGAUGUGAAAGGUACCGGCUCAACCGGUAACAUGCAUUUGAAACUGAAAGACUUGAGUAUUGGAGAGGCAAGUGGAAUUCCUAGUGUAGCGGUGAAAUGCGUAGAUAUUAGGAGGAACACCGGUGGCGAAGGCGGCUUGCUGGACAAAUACUGACGCUGAGGUGCGAAAGCGUGGGGAGCAAACA